UAGGGAAUAUUGGGCAAUGGACGAAAGUCUGACCCAGCCAUGCCGCGUGGAGGAUGACUGCCCUAUGGGUUGUAAACUCCUUUUAUAAGGAAAGAAUAGCAGGCUUUUUAGUUUGUGUGACGGUACCUUAUGAAUAAGCACCGGCUAACUCCGUGCCAGCAGCCGCGGUAAUACGGAGGGUGCAAGCGUUAUCCGGAUUCACUGGGUUUAAAGGGUGCGUAGGCGGAUUUGUAAGUCAGAGGUGAAAUCCUAUAGCUCAACUAUAGAAUUGCCCCUGAUACUGCUUAUCUUGAGUAUGGUUGAAGUGGGCGGAAUAUGUCAUGUAGCGGUGAAAUGCGUAGAUAUGACAUAGAACACCAAUUGCGAAGGCAGCUCACUAAACCAAAACUGACGCUGAGGCACGAAAGCAUGGGUAGCGAACAGG
rnacentral:rRNA from 1 species